ACACGACUACAUUAGAUACCCGGGUAGUCCCAGCCCUAAACGAUGCGCGUUAGGUGUAUCGGUGACCACGAGUCACCGAGGUGCCGAAGGGAAACCGUGAAACGAGCCACCUGGGAAGUACGGCCGCAAGGCUGAAACUUAAAGGAAUUGGCGGGGGAGCACCACAACGGGUGGAGCUUGCGGUUUAAUUGGAUUCAACGCCGGAAAUCUUACCGGGACCGACAGCAACAUGAAGGCCAGGCUGAAGACUUUGCCGGAUUAGCUG
rnacentral:rRNA from 1 species